GACGAACGCUGGCGGCGUGCCUAAUACAUGCAAGUAGAACGCACAGUUUAUACCGUAGCUUGCUACACCAUAGACUGUGAGUUGCGAACGGGUGAGUACCGCGUAGGUAACCUGCCUGGUAGCGGGGGAUAACUAUUGGAAACGAUAGCUAAUACCGCAUAAUAUUGAUUAUUGCAUGAUAAUUGAUUGAAAGAUGCUAUUGCAUCACUACCAGAUGGACCUGCGUUGUAUUAGCUAGUAGGUGAGGUAACGGCUCACCUAGGCGACGAUACAUAGCCGACCUGAGAGGGUGAUCGGCCACACUGGGACUGAGACACGGCCCAGACUCCUACGGGAGGCAGCAGUAGGGAAUCUUCGGCAAUGGACGAAAGUCUGACCGAGCAACGCCGCGUGAGUGAAGAAGGUUUUCGGAUCGUAAAGCUCUGUUGUAAGAGAAGAACGGGUGUGAGAGUGGAAAGUUCACACUGUGACGGUAUCUUACCAGAAAGGGACGGCUAACUACGUG
rnacentral:rRNA from 1 species